rnacentral:rRNA from 1 species
AACAAACGCUGGCGGCGUGCCUAACACAUGCAAGUCGAGCGGCAGCGAGGUACGUAGCAAUACGUACUGUCGGCGAGCGGCGGACGGGUGAGGAACACGUAGGAACCUGCCCAGGAGCGGGGGACAACCAAUGGAAACGUUGGCUAAUACCGCAUAAACUCGGAAGAGAAAAGUUGCUCGCAAGGGUAGCGCUUCUGGAGGGGCCUGCGUCCGAUUAGUUAGUUGGUGAGGUAAAGGCUCACCAAGGCGAUGAUCGGUAACUGGUCUGAGAGGACGACCAGUCACACUGGGACUGAGACACGGCCCAGACUCCUACGGGAGGCAG